rnacentral:misc_RNA from 1 species
UUCUAUGUCCUUGGCUAGAGAUUUUGCAUUAACUCUGUGAUUAAGCUGAAUUAGAAUUGUUGCAUGGAUACUUUGUGGUAAAGAAAUUAUCUUUUUAUUAAGUUUAUGAGAGAUUUGAACCAGGCAUGCUGAGUAAAUGUUAUUUUUCUCUUGUUAUUCCCAUGAAACAAUAUAAUAGCCAAUCAGGAUGCAUCAAAGUCAUUUUCCAAUUGUAUAUGGUUUUGGCAACAACAAUUAUAGCGUCUGAGCUCAAAUAGUGUUGUAAUUAAGAGCAAAACAACUACUAGAGACAAGCAAAUAAUCAAGUUUCAGAAGAAAAAUAUGGCUCUUGUUUAUUUAAAUUUUUUAGAUGGA